AAUCUAGAUUAAUGGUAUAACGGUAAAAGUCAGUAACUGAUGUUCUGGAUACCAAAGUUUGUUUGAUGUAGAAAAUGAACCCGAUGUGGAAUAAUUUCACUGUCACAGUCAACACACUAUCUUAAAAAAGAUAGUAACAUUCAUGUAUCAGACUGCAGAUACAGUAUAACCAGUGUUGGUAAAAUAAAAUAAGAUGGAAACAAAGUAUAGCACAUUGUUGCAUAAAAGAUAAUAU